rnacentral:lncRNA from 1 species
CCCACUUAAAAUAAACAUGAAGAAACAGAAUGCUCAAGAGUUUAGGUUAAUUGCUAGUCGUCUCCUUCCUAGUUUGUUGGAAUGAGACUACAUGGCAACCGCUUAAAAAUGGAAAUUGAAUAAGAAUCUUUAAAUGACAGUCAUAGUUAACAUUUAGUGUGUUCAUACCCAUGCCAUACUUUUAAAAACUGAUAUACUUUUCUGUUCUAAGUCUAAAAAUAAUUUUUCAUUUUGGUCAUUCAGUUUUUUAAAAUCUGUAGUUUAUCAUCUCUUUCUAUUAGGAAUUAUUUUCAUUGUGUUAAUAUUUUAAGAUAUCCUUUAUUUUCUAUAUUUAAAUGCUUCAGUUCAUUUACUCCCCUCCCCCGCAACCCAGUGAGAUAUCAGUCUUCAAGAACUUUUCAUAGGCUCAGAUUUUCGGAUAUAUCCUAAAUGUUCUUAUACCCAAACUUAAAUUCUUGGGGAUAAUGAACUGAAUUGGUAGAAUUUAUUGUUAUGUUUAAGCUUGCGAGAAUUCUUUUUAAAUAUGGAGUUAAUAGGCUUUAACUAGGAACUUGGGUUCAAGCUCUCCUCAAUCUUCUGCCAUUAAAAAGAAACCACCUGAAAUUAAUGAAAAAAUGUUAAUCCUGUUAGG